UAAUAAGUUGCCCUUAUAGCUCAGUGGUAGAGCGUCAGUCUUGUAAACUGAAGGUCCGUAGUUCGAUCCUGCGUGAGGGCAA
rnacentral:tRNA from 1 species